CGAUGGCGGUGCCUUCGGGCCACAAGUGAGGAGGCCCAGCUGCCGAGAAAAACUUCUAAGUGAUGAACAUCUGGUAUCCGUACCGCAAACCGACACUGGUAGACGAGUAGAAGAUACUCAGGCGAACGGGAGAACCCUCGUUAAGGAAUUAGGCAAAAUAGCCCCGUAACUUCGGGAGAAGGGGCGCCUCUCGCAAGGGAGGCCGCAGUGAAAGGGCUCUAGCGACUGUUUAACAAAAGCACAGGUCUCUGCCAACCCGUAAGGGGAUGUAUAGGGGCUGACACCUGCCCAGUGCCGGAAGGUUAAGGGGAGAGGUUAAGCGCAAGCUGAAGCUUUGAACCGAAGCCCCGGUGAACGGCGGCCGUAACUAUAACGGUCCUAAGGUAGCGAAAUUCCUUGUCGGGUAAGAUCCGACCCGCACGAAUGGUGUAACGACUGGAGCACUGUCUCAACGAGGGACCCGGCGAAAUUGAAGUACGUGUGAAGAUGCGCGUUACCCGCAGCAGGACAAAAAGACCCCGUGGAGCUUUACUACAACUUGCUAUGGCGUUAGGGCUUGGUUCGUGCAGCAUAGCUGGGAGGCUGUGAAGCUGGUGCGCUAGCAUCGGUGGAGCCAAUCUUGAGAUACCAGCCUGGCGAAGUCUUGGCCCUAACCAGUGAACAAGCACUGGGACAGUGGCAGGUGGGUAGUUUGACUGGGGCGGUCGCCUCCUAAAGAGUAACGGAGGCGCCCAAAGGUUCCCUCAGGGUGAAUGGAAACCACCCCGUGAGUGUAAAGGCACAAGGGAGCUUGACUGCAAGACAGACACGUCGAGCAGAGACGAAAGUCGGGCUUAGUGAUCCCACGGUACCGAGUGGCAGGGCCGUGGCUUACCGGAUAAAAGCUACCCCGGGGAUAACAGGCUAGUCUAGUCCAAGAGUUCACAUCGACGACUAGGCUCGGCACCUCGAUGUCGGCUCAUCGCAUCCUGGGGCUGGAUCAGGUCCCAAGGGUCGGGCUGUUCGCCCGUUAAAGCGGUACGUGAGCUGGGUUCAGACCGUCGUGAGACAGGUCGGUCUCUAUCCGCUGUGGGCGUAAGAAGUUUGCGAGGACCUGCCCCUAGUACGAGAGGACCGGGGUGGACGAAGCGCUCGUGUGUCGGUUGUCGCGCCAGCGGCAUUGCCGAGUAGCGACCUUCGGUGGAGAUAACCGCUGAAACAUCUAAGUGGGAAACUCACCUCAAGAUGAGACUUCUCAUAGGGUAACCUAGUAAGACCGCUCGUAGACCAC
rnacentral:rRNA from 1 species